GCCGAUAUGUUGCCUUUAUCUGCAUUUGCACCUGCACUUUACUUGGUUUCUCUGCAACAUUAUUCAGCACAUGUCACUUGUGGAGGAAGAUAUAUAUAUAUAUAUAUAUAUAUUAUAUUAUAUUAUAUAUUAUAUAUAUGUGUGGAAUAGAGAAACUGAGAACGAGGUGCAGGUGCAUCUGCAGGUGAAAGUCAUAUCGGA
rnacentral:pre_miRNA from 1 species